rnacentral:tRNA from 1 species
CAAAGAGUAGUUUAAGUUAAAAUACUGGCUUUGGG